GAAAGAUUACCAAAGAGGGAGGAAUGAUCAACUGGUCAAGUGCUACAUUUCAUAAGUACACCAGAAUCUAUAGCUUACCUCUGAACAACGUAAUGCGACUGAACAAAUGUCCAAUUCUGUAUGACUCUGUGCUUCUCCU
rnacentral:lncRNA from 1 species